CCCUUAGAUGUUCUGGGCUGCACACGUGCUACACUGGCAGGUUCAGCGAGCUUCAUGCCCUGAUCUGAAAGGAAUGGGAAAUCUUUUCAAAACCUGCCGUGCUUGGGAUAGAUGUUUGCAAUUAUUCAUCUUCAACGAGUAUUGCCUUGUAAGCGCACGUCAUCAGCGUGCAUUGAAUACGACCCUGUAUUCUGUACACACCGCCCGUCGCUCCUACCGAUUGAAGUUUUCGGUGAGUUGACAGGAGGAUUUUUUUGAAACUGGUUCGCCAGUGGAUUUUAGAUCCAAAUGCCAACGAAUCGAUGGCUUUAGAGGAAGGAGAAGUCGUAACA
rnacentral:rRNA from 1 species